rnacentral:rRNA from 1 species
UACGGGGGGAGCAAGCGUUGUUCGGAUUUACUGGGCGUAAAGGGCGCGUAGGCGGCGUGACAAGUCACUUGUGAAAUCUCCGGGCUUAACUCGGAACGGUCAAGUGAUACUGUCGUGCUAGAGUACAGAAGGGGCAACUGGAAUUCUCGGUGUAGCGGUGAAAUGCGUAGAUAUCGAGAGGAACACCUGCGGCGAAGGCGGGUUGCUGGGCUGAUACUGACGCUGAGGCGCGAAAGCCAGGGGAGCGAUCGGG